UCCAGACUCCUACGGGAGGCAGCAGUGGGGGAUAUUGCACAAUGGGGGAAACCCUGAUGCAGCGACGCCGCGUGUGGGAAGACGGUCUUCUGGAUUGUAAACCACUGUCCCCAGGGACGAAAAUGACGGUACCUGGGGAGGAAGCUCCGGCUAACUACGUGCCAGCAGCCGCGGUAAUACGUAGGGGGCAAGCGUUAUCCGGAUUUACUGGGUGUAAAGGGAGCGUAGACGGCGAUGCAAGUCUGAAGUGAAAGGCGGGGGCCCAACCCCCGGACUGCUUUGGAAACUGUAUGGCUGGAGUGCAGGAGAGGUAAGUGGAAUUCCUAGUGUAGCGGUGAAAUGCGUAGAUAUUAGGAGGAACACCGGUGGCGAAGGCGGCCUGCUGGACUGUGACUGACGUUGAGGCUCGAAAGCGUGGGGAGCAAACAGGAUUAGAUACCCUGGUAA
rnacentral:rRNA from 1 species